UACGAAGGGGGCUAGCGUUGCUCGGAAUUACUGGGCGUAAAGGGCGCGCAGGCGGCCUUAGAAGUCAGAUGUGAAAGCCCCGGGCUCAACCUGGGAAUGGCAUUUGAUACUCUGAGGCUGGAGUACGGGAGAGGAGAGUGGAAUUCCCAGUGUAGUGGUGAAAUUCGUAGAUAUUGGGAAGAACACCGGUGGCGAAGGCGGCUCUCUGGACCGUAACUGACGCUGAGGCGCGAAAGCGUGGGGAGCAAACAGG
rnacentral:rRNA from 1 species